rnacentral:rRNA from 1 species
CCUAAGGCGAGGCAGAAAUGCGUAGCCGAUGGGAAACAGGUCAAUAUUCCUGUACCGAUUCUAGAUGCGAUGUGGGGACGGAGAAGGUUAGGUCAGCCGGGUGUUGGACGUCCCGGUUUAAGCGUGUAGGCGUGCCCCUUAGGCAAAUCCGGGGGGCUAAGCUGAGGCGUGAUGACGAGGAACCACGGUUCCGAAGUGAUUGAUACCAAGCUUCCAGGAAAAGCCACUAAGCUUCAGUCUAGAGUUGACCAUACCGCAAACCGACACAGGUGGGCAGGAUGAAAAUUCUAAGGCGCUUGAGAGAACUCAGGAGAAGGAACUCGGCAAAUUAACACCGUAACUUCGGGAGAAGGUGUGCCCCGGUAGCGUGUAGAGACUUGCUCUCGAAGCGCGAUGGGGUUGCAGUGAAAUGGUGGCUGCGACUGUUUAAUAAAAACACAGCACUCUGCAAACACGAAAGUGGACGUAUAGGGUGUGACGCCUGCCCGGUGCCGGAAGGUUAAGUGAUGGGGUGCAAGCUCUUGAUCGAAGCCCCGGUAAACGGCGGCCGUAACGAUAACGGUCCUAAGGUAGCGAAAUUCCUUGUCGGGUAAGUUCCGACCUGCACGAAUGGCGUAACGAUGGCCACACUGUCUCCUCCUGGGACUCAGCGAAGUUGAAAUGUUUGUGAAGAUGCAAUCUACCCGCGGCUAGACGGAAAGACCCCAUGAACCUUUACUGUAGCUUUGCAUUGGACUUUGAACCGGUUUGUGUAGGAUAGGUGGGAGACUGUGAAGCCGGGACGCUAGUUUCGGUGGUGUCAACCUUGAAAUACACCCUGAUUUGUUUGAGGUUCUAACCUUGGUCCGUGAAUCCGGAUCGGGGACCGUGCAUGGUAGGCAGUUUGACUGGGGCGGUCUCCUCCCAAAAGGUAACGGAGGAGUACGAAGGUACGCUUAGGGCGGUCGGACAUCGCCCACAAAGUGCAAUGGCAAAAGCGUGCUUGACUGCGAGACCCACAAGUCGAGCAGGUACGAAAGUAGGUCAUAGUGAUCCGGUGGUUCUGUAUGGAAGGGCCAUCGCUCAACGGAUAAAAGGUACUCUGGGGAUAACAGGCUAAUUCCUCCCAAGAGUUCAUAUCGACGGGGGAGUUUGGCACCUCGAUGUCGGCUCAUCACAUCCUGGGGCUGUAGUCGGUCCCAAGGGUAUGGCUGUUCGCCAUUUAAAGUGGUACGCGUGCUGGGUUUAAAACGUCGUGAGACAGUUUGGUCCCUAUCUGCCGUGGGCGCUGGAAAUUUGAAGGGGGCUGCUCCUAGUACGAGAGGACCGGAGUGGACGAACCUCUGGUGUACCGGUUAUGACGCCAGUCGUAUCGCCGGGUAGCUAAGUUCGGAAGAGAUAAACGCUGAAAGCAUCUAAGCGUGAAACUCGCCUUAAGAUAAGAUUUCCCGGAGUCUUGAACUCCCUGAAGGGUCGUCGAAGACCACGACGUUGAUAGGUCAGGUGUGGAAGCGCAGCAAUGCGAUAAGCUAACUGAUACUAAUUGCCCGUGUGGCUUGAUCCC